rnacentral:rRNA from 1 species
CCGGUAGCUAAAUGCGGAAGAGAUAAGUGCUGAAAGCAUCUAAGCACGAAACUUGCCCCGAGAUGAGUUCUCCCUGAGACUUUAAGUCUCCUGAAGGAACGUUAAAGACGAUGACGUUGAUAGGCCGGGUGUGUAAGCGCAGCGAUGCGUUGAGCUAACCGGUACUAAUGAACCGUGAGGCUUAACCUUACAACGCCGAAG